UGCCAUGCACGACGUUGACCUGCUCCCUCUCAACGAGGAGCUGGACUAUGGCUUUCCUGAGGCUGGGCCCUUCCACGUGGCCUCCCCGGAGCUCCACCCUCUCUACCACUACAAGACCUAUGUCGGCGGCAUCCUGCUGCUCUCCAAGCAGCACUACCAGCUGGUGAGGCCCGGACAGCCUGCUCUGCUCAGCCGGGAGCUCCCUCCAGGCGGCAGGUGGUGGGAAGGAUGGGGCAGUACCUCUGGGGCCCAGCAGAUGGAGCCCUGCCCUGGCCUAGCAGGAGGACUUAGGAGCAGCAAGAGUGCGAAGAGCAGGCGAGCCAGUCAGCCGCAGCAGCAGAACUGCUUGCAAGCUGGCUUCAGAAACUUGGGUGGUUAGUGGCCCUUAACAUUGAAGAGUGUAGGGGCGGUUCAGGUGCACCUUGCCCACCUCUCAGCCAGUGUCACCAGGACCCUGUUUCUCUGUCCAUCUCCCAGCUCUCCUUCCCUGCACUGGGUUUAUUGGCAAGGUGGUGGUUGUCACUGCAGUCUGUAUCCAUCUAGGCCCCGGUCUGGCGGGAGAUGGGGCCCUUCCCUCCUAGCUCAGGCAGGAGUCCAGCAGUGAGCUGCACUGGCUCUUGAUUGGCCAGCUUGAGUGCUGAGCCCACCCCUUAGCCAGUCACUGGCUGGUGGACGGGCAGGCAGGAAGAACCACGUGGCUCAGGCCUGGGUCUCCUCCUCUCCAGGCCAUGCAGGAGCCACCUUUAUGUAAAUGAAGCCCCUGAGCCAGGUGCAAGAAUGGGUGUCUGUCAUGGAACCCUACUACCCCGCUCACACACACAGGAAGAGAUGAGGGCAGGGCCACGAGGAGAAAGGGGAAUGGGGGAAGCAGAAAUCAAGUAGGAGCUGGUGCUUCUGCCCAUCGACAGUUCCCCAAAGAGAUCCCCUCUGGCCAGCCAGACAUUUUUGAGAAGGUGAGCAUCUCACACAGAUUCAAGGCCCCAUGAGAACAGGAGAGGGACUGGGAUGUGCUGCUUCCUGCCGCCCCCAGCAUUGCAGAGGUGGAGGAGCCUGUAAGCACCUGGGGCUUAUUCAGAACCGCCAGGGGAGAGGGGCACUCCCGAGUGGUAGGAGACCAAAGGCCCCCCCCGGGAAGAUGGGCCGAGUGACGCUGCUUGUCUCUGUGUCAGUGCAAUGGGAUGUCCAACCGCUUCUGGGGCUGGGGCCGCGAGGACGACGAGUUCUACCGUCGCAUUAAAGGAGCUGGGCUCCAGGUGAGGUUCCCCAGGGCCCUGCUGCCACCUCAGCUGUGGUGGCUGCCCUGAGAUUUUCUUCUGUUUCCUCAGAUGAAGCUCCCGGGGUCUGGAGAUGGCCGAUUCUGAUCCCUGCCCUAACCCUGCCCUGCAUGGUCUUUUAGCCAGUUCCUUGCCCUGUGGGCCCCAGUGUCCUCUCCUGCAGGCUGGGAGUGCAGGCCCCUUCCUGUGAGACCUCAGGGCAGCUGGUGGUGAGGGCUGGGGCUCCAGGAAGGGCAGCCUGACCCCAGCUUCCUUGGACCUCCCUAGCUUUUCCGCCCCUCGGGAAUCACAACUGGGUAUAAGACGUUUCGCCACCUGCAUGACCCAGCCUGGCGGAAGAGGGACCAGAAGCGCAUCGCGGCUCAAAAACAGGAGCAGUUCAAGGUGGACAGGGAGGGAGGCCUGAACACUGUGAAGUACCAUGUGGCUUCCCGCACUGCCCUGUCUGUGGGCGGGGCCCCCUGCACUGUCCUCAACAUCAUGUUGGACUGUGACAAGACCGCCACACCCUGGUGCACAUUCAGCUGAGUUGGAUGGACAGUGAGGAAGCCUGUACCGACAGUCCACAUGGCUCAGGCUCAGGACAAGGCGUCAGGUCGCAGGCCCAGCUCUGACAGGAUGUGGAGUGGCCAGGACCAAGACAGCAAGCUACGCAAUUGCAGCCACCCGGCCUCCAAGGCAGGCUUGGGCUGGGCCAGGACACGUGGGGUGCCUGGGACGCUGCUUGCCAUGCACAGUGAUCAGAGAGAGGCUGGAGUGUGUCCUGGCCGGGACCCCCCCGCCUUCCUGCUCACCCUACUCUGACCUCCUUCACGUGCCAAGGCCUGUGAGUGGGGAGGGCUGAACAGGACCACCUCUCAUCAACCCCACUUUUGUUCCUUCCUGCUGGGCUGCCUCGUGCAGAGACACAGCGUAGGGGCCAUGCAGCUGGCGUAGGUGGCAGUUGGGCCUGGGAGGGUUAGAACUUCAGAAACCAGAGCACAAGCCCCACAGAGGGGAACAGCCAGCACCGCUCUAGCUGGUUGUUGCCGUGCCGGAAUGUGGGCCUAGUGUUGCCAGAUCUUCUGAGUUUUCGAAAGAAACUAGAAUGCUGGAUUCUUAAGUGAUAUCUUCUGAUUUUUUAAAUGAUAGCACCUAAAUGAAACAUUCAAAAAG
rnacentral:sRNA from 1 species